rnacentral:rRNA from 1 species
UUUUCGGAGGUACUCGAGUGGCGAACGGGUGAGUAACACGUGGGUGGUCUGCCCUGCACUCUGGGAUAAGCCUGGGAAACUGGGUCUAAUACCGGAUAGGACCGCACUUUAGUGUGUGUGGUGGAAAGUUUUUUCGGUGUAGGAUGAGCCCGCGGCCUAUCAGCUUGUUGGUGGGGUAAUGGCCUACCAAGGCGGCGACGGGUAGCCGGACUGAGAGGUUGGUCGGCCACAUUGGGACUGAGAUACGGCCCAG